GGGCCGCUAGCUCAUCAGGUAGAGCACCGGACUUUUAAUCCGGUUGGCAGGGUUCGAGUCCCUGGCGGCCCA
rnacentral:tRNA from 2 species